GAUGAACGCUGGCGGCGUGCCUAAUACAUGCAAGUCGAGCGAACGGACGAGAAGCUUGCUUCUCUGAUGUUAGCGGCGGACGGGUGAGUAACACGUGGAAAACCUACCUAUAAGACUGGGAUAACUUCGGGAAACCGGAGCUAAUACCGGAUAAUAUUUUGAACCGCAUGGUUCAAAAGUGAAAGACGGUCUUGCUGUCACUUAUAGAUGGAUCCGCGCUGCAUUAGCUAGUUGGUAAGGUAACGGCUUACCAAGGCAACGAUACAUAGCCGACCUGAGAGGGUGAUCGGCCACACUGGAACUGAGACACGGUCCAGACUCCUACGGGAGGCAGCAGUAGGGAAUCUUCCGCAAUGGGCGAAAGCCUGACGGAGCAACGCCGCGUGAGUGAUGAAGGUCUUCGGAUCGUAAAACUCUGUUAUUAGGGAAGAACAUAUGUGUAAGUAACUGUGCACAUCUUGACGGUACCUAAUCAGAAAGCCACGGCUAACUACGUG
rnacentral:rRNA from 1 species